rnacentral:misc_RNA from 1 species
AAAAAAAAAAAAAAAAAGACAAAUUACAGCAAAUCCCUUAGCGUAGUUCUCAAAACAGCAGCCGAUUUCUCCUACACGAACAAAAAAAAGAUUAGAAAAAAGGCAAAAAUAGUAUUUUGGGCUCUUUUUUUCUUUAUCAGAUUAAUGACCUAGUAAUGAGUAAUUAACUUUUAAUAAAAAAAAGUCAGAUCCACUCAAGCGCACACAGACCUUUUAUGGUAGGCUCACUUACCUGGUCGAUAUUUUCCUUGGGCGAUGAUUCAAGAGAGUGAUCAAGCAGCCUUCCUCUUUCAUCGUAGAGAAUAAGUCCACUGAACCUCGGCAACUCACAUUUCUCCCCCAUUAGUAUUGGCCUCUGCCACACUGGUGACACCGAGUUAUGGCUUGGCCACCCCACACCAGACCUCGACGACGACUCACACUCUCCAAACCCAAGAAGUGGCUGUGGCGGUGACCUCUCUCCCAGGCUCCCAACACUUGUCUCCUCCUCCCACUUGCUUGCUUCGCUCCACCUCAUCGACUCCAUCAAUAUCCUCCUUAUUCUGACCAAGUUACUAGAGUGAGACUCAUGAUUAUCAGACCUCGUAAUGGAGGCAUCAGUAGUUGCAGGGUCUUGGUUCGCCAUUGGCUUUCUUUGGGCCUUCCUUUUUAGCAUGGUCGCAGUGCAUAGGCCGAUGACAGCAAAGGCAGUGCAUGCAAAUAGAAGGAGUGCUUGUUGGGUUGUUAGGUUCCAUUUGUCCUCUAAAUUCCACAGUGCUUCCAUGGCUGCAAGUUUCUCAGUGAGAGAGUGAAUCUGCUACAUGGGGAUAUAUGCAUGGUGUAUGGGUUCACGUGGGAUCCACCGCCGCUGGCCCGGCUUGCGGUAGCCAUGUGGGGGUUGCUCUGCCCUGGGGCUUCAUUUUAGCCGUUGUAUCUCACCGAUUGAAGCUAAUAAUAAAGACUCUCACGAGGGAUGUGAAGUUGCCAUAAAAUGUCUGGGAAGGUAGAGAGCAAUUUUUUGCACAAUAGCAAUUCGCUUUUGUGUUGAAGUAAUAAGGUACUCCUGUGCGCUCCACUAAAACCUUCUCAAUCCCAGUAUCCUGGCAAAAACUGCUCAACAAUACAAUAUGCGCAGUUAGUUAUUUUUUACAAUCGCCAUAAUGCUUGCUCAAAUAUUUGAAUUCAAAUAAAAAAACAAUUAACCAUCUUUGCUUCAUUCUCUACUCCAUUAUGCCAGGACCUGAG